UGGGGAAUUUUGGACAAUGGGGGCAACCCUGAUCCAGCCAUGCCGCGUGAGUGAAGAAGGCCUUAGGGUUGUAAAGCUCUUUCAGUCGUGACGAUGAUGACGGUAGCGACAGAAGAAGCCCCGGCUAACUCCGUGCCAGCAGCCGCGGUAAUACGGAGGGGGCAAGCGUUGUUCGGAAUGACUGGGCGUAAAGCGCGCGCAGGUGGCCCGUUAAGUCGGCUGUGAAAUCCCCUGGCUCAACCAGGGAAGUGCAGUCGAUACUGGCCGGCUCGAGUCCCGGAGAGGGUGGUAGAAUUCCCAGUGUAGAGGUGAAAUUCGUAGAUAUUGGGAGGAAUACCGGUGGCGAAGGCGACCGCCUGGACGGGUACUGACACUGAGGCGCGAAAGCGUGGGGAGCAAACAGGAUUAGAUACCCCCGUAG
rnacentral:rRNA from 1 species